rnacentral:sRNA from 1 species
UGGAAAAGUAGGAAUGAAAACCCAAGGGCGUGACCUGUAAACUAUGUAGAAUAAAGUCAAAUAAAAUACGCAUUUCGAGGGUUUUCUUUUGUAUAUUUGUGUGUGUGUGUGUGUGUGUGUGUGUGUGUGUGUAAAUCAUCAUGUUUUAAUCUCUCCUAUAAAAAAUGCAUACAAAAUGAUCCAA